GCUGCUCUGUGAGGACAUAGCUAUUGGCCACUGUUCAGCCAAGGUUGGUACUGGACUGGUUGCACUGGAUUGACAGCUCUGGACAUGAAUGCAUGACAAGCUGCUGGGAAAGGAUAUCAGUCAUGACAAGUCAACAGAAACUGCAGAAACACAGAAGCUUCUGGUUGGUAUUAGAGACCAGACAUUGGACUAGAUGGGACUAAGUUCUGCUUCAGGAGGGCAAGUCUGAUGUUCCUAAAACUUCUGAAAGAUUAAGUAGAGCUGAAAUUAUCCUUUUAACUUCAGCCAUUUACCUAAGUUCCAUCACUGCUAAUGCCCGCUGACAGGAAGCACUGCCUCUCCAAUCACUACCAGGAUUUCAUCCAGACCAAAUAACUACAAUGGCUUACCUCUUCUUUUGCACUGAAUAUCCUUUAUAUCCGGAGACCACUUGAGGUUGGGCUCACAAAGAAUGAGAGCUGCCCCUUCCAAAU